GUGGUUUGUCUACGGCUCGUCUGAAAUGCCUGAGUGUACCCCGCCUUGCGGCGUAUUCGGUGUGAUACAUCUUCACCGGAGUCGAUCCUUUCGGGUCGCGUCUGUAAUGGUGUGGCUCUAUGCUUCCAACCGUCUCUUUUAUAUGGGACAAUCUCUGACAAUUUGACCUCAAAUCGGGUGGGACUACCCGCUGAACUUAA
rnacentral:misc_RNA from 1 species